rnacentral:rRNA from 1 species
GGAGAAUACCAAGGCGACGGGCGAACUGUGGUUAAGGAACUCGGCAAAUUACCCCCGUAACUUCGGGAGAAGGGGGGCCGGACACGUGAAGCAACACGCUUGUGGAGCGUGGUAUGGCCGCAGAGACCAGGGGGAAGCGACUGUUUACUAAAAACACAGGUCCAUGCGAAGAAGUAAUUCGAUGUAUAUGGACUGACGCCUGCCCGGUGCUGGAACGUUAAGGGGACCUGUUAGCUCUUCGGGGCGAAGCGGAGAACUUAAGCGCCAGUAAACGGCGGUGGUAACUAUAACCAUCCUAAGGUAGCGAAAUUCCUUGUCGGGUAAGUUCCGACCUGCACGAAUGGCGUAACGACUUCCCUACUGUCUCAACCACAGGCCCGGCGAAAUUGCAUUACGAGUAAAGAUGCUCGUUACGCGCGGCAGGACGGAAAGACCCCGGGACCUUUACUAUAGCUUGACAUUGGUAUCUGAGUUAAUUUGUGUAGGAUAGGUGGGAGCCGGUGAAGCUCGUACGCCAGUACGGGUGGAGGCAAUCUUGAAAUACCACUCUGGUUGAUUCGGGUAUCUAACUUCGGACCGUGAUCCGGUUCAGGGACAGUGUCUGGUGGGUAGUUUAACUGGGGCGGUUGCCUCCUAAAGAGUAACGGAGGCGCCCAAAGGUUCCCUCAGCCUGGUUGGCAAUCAGGUGUUGAGUGUAGUGCACAAGGGAGCUUGACUGUGAGACUGACAGGUCGAGCAGGGACGAAAGUCGGGACUAGUGAUCCGGCACCGGCAUGUGGAAGCGGUGUCGCUCAACGGAUAAAAGGUACCCCGGGGAUAACAGGCUGAUCUUCCCCAAGAGUCCAUAUCGACGGGAUGGUUUGGCACCUCGAUGUCGGCUCGUCGCAUCCUGGGGCUGUAGCAGGUCCCAAGGGUUGGGCUGUUCGCCCAUUAAAGCGGUACGCGAGCUGGGUUUAGAACGUCGUGAGACAGUUCGGUCCCUAUCCGCCGUGCGCGUAGGAUACUUGAGAAGGGCUGUCCCUAGUACGAGAGGACCGGGACGGACGAACCUCUGGUGUGCCAGUUGUCCCGCCAGGGGCACGGCUGGUUAGCUACGUUCGGAAGGGAUAACCGCUGAAAGCAUCUAAGCGGGAAGCUCGCUUCAAGAUGAGGUAUCCCACCCACACUUGUGUGGGGUAAGGCCCCCAGCUAGACCACUGGGUUGAUAGGCCGGAAAUGUAAGCCCGGUAACGGGUUCAGUUGACCGGUACUAAUAGGCCGAGGACUUGACCC